AUGUCCAUAAAUUACAAAUAACUAUUAUGGAGUAGUGAGAGGGUUUGCAAUGGAAUUAAAAGGGCUGUGCACUCACGAUAUAAUUUUAUCAUCUCUUGCAAAUUAUGGCAUGUUUGUUUAUAGUAAUAAGGUAUUAUAGAGAUCACUGAGUCAUAGGUAGUUCACAUGGGAAGAUGCUAUAGUUUUCUAACCUUUUCCCAGUUGAUGUUACCAUUGGAAGCCAGAGUUAUAACAUAUCAGUGACAACACAGGGCCAUGCUCCUCCUCCUACUCCUAUGACUCCCUAAAUCCAUGUAACGGAGUCCCAUUGCCAGAUAUGCAAUUCUCAUGUAGAAUCAGUGCCCUGAAGUUUCAAACCCUCCACUGGUAUCUCUUUGGCUAUGGAACACCUCCUCAAACAAGCAAUAGCGUCAGAAAACCAGUCUGCUUUCCUUUGAUCAAGGUGUUGGUUUUGUCUGUGCUUGAGCUUUUCAGGCCUAAUUUUCCCUAUGGGACCAAUGGAUAACUCUGGAUGGCAGGUAAAUCACAGAAUGGAGAGAAAGGAGUGGAAGGCUUCAAUGAUGAUACUCUGUUUCCAUCAAUGACAGAUGGACCUGAUGUGGGGAUACAAGUUGGAUGGAUGAAGAAAGUCACUGCACAGGUGGAUAACAUAAUAAAGAUAAGGCCCGAAGAUCCAGACUGAUGAUAAGCCUAAAGCUGGUAGAGGACAAUCACCACUGGAUUCUACCACAGAAAGCUGUAAACACACCUGAAGAUUUUUACUAAAGUU